UACAGAGGUCCCAAGCGUUGUUCGGAUUCACUGGGCGUAAAGGGUGCGUAGGUGGUCAGGUAAGUCUGAUGUGAAAUCUCUGGGCUCAACCCAGAAACUGCAUUGGAUACUAUCUGGCUAGAGGAGUGGAGGGGGGACUGGAAUACUUGGUGUAGCAGUGAAAUGCGUAGAUAUCAAGUGGAACACCAGUGGCGAAGGCGAGUCUCUGGGCUGAUACCGACGCUGAGGCGCGAAAGCCAGGGGAGCAAACGGG
rnacentral:rRNA from 1 species